rnacentral:rRNA from 1 species
AAUAGAUACCCUGGUAGUCCACGCCGUAAACGAUGAGUGCUAAGUGUUAGAGGGUUUCCGCCCUUUAGUGCUGAAGUUAACGCAUUAAGCACUCCGCCUGGGGAGUACGGCCGCAAGGCUGAAACUCAAAGGAAUUGACGGGGGCCCGCACAAGCGGUGGAGCAUGUGGUUUAAUUCGAAGCAACGCGAAGAACCUUACCAGGUCUUGACAUCCUCUGACAACCCUAGAGAUAGGGCUUCUCCUUCGGGAGCAGAGUGACAGGUGGUGCAUGGUUGUCGUCAGCUCGUGUCGUGAGAUGUUGGGUUAAGUCCCGCAACGAGCGCAACCCUUGAUCUUAGUUGCCAUCAUUAAGUUGGGCACUCUAAGGUGACUGCCGGUGACAAACCGGAGGAAGGUGGGGAUGACGUCAAGUCAUCAUGCCCCUUAUGACCUGGGCUACACACGUGCUACAAUGGACGGUACAAAGAGCUGCAAGACCGCGAGGUGGAGCUAAUCUCAUAAAACCGUUCUCAGUUCGGA